rnacentral:lncRNA from 1 species
GUAAUCAAACCCAGUUAACAUUUUUUUUUACCUAAACUAAUGAAAAAAGAAGCGGCAAUCACUCAUAAAGAAACGGACACAUUACCAAUCAGGGGUUUCUGAACGACUGAAUCAUUGAUUCAUCGAUUUGAACACCCUAUUCGAGUAGUACUCGUAACAGUCUUUCAAGAUCGAAGAGAACAGCCACCCAGAUUUGAGAUUAUAUGGUUUUGGACUUUAUGUUGUUUCUUAAUGUCAGAAACAAUGUCUACUUUAGGAAACAUAAAUCCCAUAAUUUUUCGGGUCCAAGGUGCUUUCAAGGUGGAAUUCCUAAAUGGGAGAACACAUCAAAAUUCAAAAGGCAGCAAGUAUCUGAAUUCGUACACAUACGGCUGAAUUUCUAUCAUUUUAGCGGGAUUGGAUUUCGUUUCACCAUUAAGACACUCCAUUAUUAACCUUUUAAGCGAGCCCGAUUGCGGCAACUGGCUAUAAAUCCAUUCCAAAAGUGACUCCAGGUCAUCUGCAAAAUCCUUCAUGUGCCAGUGUAAAAGCUUCGGCAUUGUAUAUGUUGAUCCAGAAUGCUAACUUCUGCUUAUACGUCAACAAGUUCAACUUCGCACUGCAAAGUUUCUGCAUCAAAACCCUGAACAAAGUAACAUGUAGUUAAUUAAUUCGUUACACAACCACGCGUAAACAUUUUCUAAAAAACAUCAGCAAGUUAGUUAGUUGGUUGGUUAGUUAGUUACCUGAUUUUUCCGACUUCCGUGGAACAUUCAGAAAUGCGCGUAUGGUCAAGGGUAGUUCGUGUAAUCUGUGUGAAAGUCUUGUAUGGACCGAUGUCUCUAACAGCACCGUCAAAGUCAAGUGAUAUGGAAUACGGGUCGUAACUUGACCCGUUAUUAUUGUAGAAAAAUGUGGGUGCUGUACAGUUAAAACUUGUUUUAGAGAUGAAGCUUUUGGAACUCAUGCAGGAGACUUGCUUGUGUGCGAUAUCCGACCCUUCUUCGCUGUCUGGAAACGGCUGAUUCAUAUCUAGAAAUAUUCCUAUUAAGCACUUAAUAAGAUCUUCAGAUAACUUAUUCGGAUUUCUUGUAUGAUUAUGAUUAUGAUUUACUUCCAAUACCGAAAGCCCAAGCUUAGCGUAUUUGAAGUCGACUGAAGAACCAAAUGAAGAUCGUCUUCUCUGCGUGUCGAAAUCUUGUGAUUCAUGAUUAUUGUUCAUGAAUUUUAGUCUGCUUUGCUGUCGCCUAUGUGGUUUUAUUCUAGAUCGUUGGUGACGUGGAUGCAGGUUCUUUAGCUGCUGCAGUUCCCAUUCUCGGGUUUGUUUUUUCUCUAAGUAUAAGCUGAGGUUCAACUUGUGAACCUUUUUUUCAAGCCACAUGAUUUCUUCUUCCACUGUGGCUAGUUCUGUAAGCAGUUCUUUUAUCUGUACACAAAAGUUGUUAUGUUAAAGUAGUUGAC